rnacentral:misc_RNA from 1 species
GUCAGGGUGUGGAGUUGGCAUGCUUUUAGAAGGUAGUGAGAAUCUGGACAGCAACUUUUCAUCAAAAGGUAAAUUUGGGAUUGACAUUUUUUCCUGGAAAUCAGCAAAACUAGAACUGGAACUCUCCAAACAAUCAGAACUUCUCCCUUGUGGUACAGUUGGAGGACACGGACUAAAUGGAAGCCAACCAUCUGACAAACUACUUUUAAGGUGCUUUUGCAAGACUUCAGCUGAUGCAUUAAUCUCCU